GGGCCCGCACAAGCGGUGGAGCAUGUGGUUUAAUUCGAUGAUACGCGAGGAACCUUACCAGGGCUUAAAUGUAAGUUGCAUUAGUUAGAGAUAACUAUUUCUUCGGACCACUUACAAGGUGCUGCAUGGUUGUCGUCAGCUCGUGUCGUGAGAUGUUGGGUUAAGUCCCGCAACGAGCGCAACCCACGUCUUUAGUUGCCAGCAUUUAGUUGGGCACUCUAGAGAGACCGCCGGUGAUAAACCGGAGGAAGGUGUGGAUGACGUCAAGUCAUCAUGCCCCUUACAUCCUGGGCUACACACGUACUACAAUGCUACGGACAAAGGGCAGCAAACUCGCGAGAGCUAGCA
rnacentral:rRNA from 1 species